GUCACAUGUCAGAGUCUACUGCCCUCGUGCGAUGGAAAGUGAGUGAGAGCAGCGAGCCUGUGAGCAUUGUUCAUGCCAGGAAAGAGCCGUCCAUCUGGGAGCCGAGCAGAGGCCACUGUCGUUUGCAGAGGAAUCAUCCAGGAGCCCUUGCCGGACGAGAAUAUGCAGAAGUGGACCUGAGAAGCCUGGACAUCCUUCUGAGGAGACAAGAAUAGUUCCCAGCUUUCUGCCUCCCGCUUAAAUGGCAGUGAGUAAGCGUGCCAAGGAAAAAGAUGUCACGUGUGAGAGUCUACAGCCCUCGUGAUGGAAAACGAGUGAGAGUGACGAGAUGGCGAGCGUUGGUGGUGCCAGGCAGCAGCCGUCCAUCUGGGAGCAGGACAGCUGUUACUUAUCUCAGUGAUAGUAUCUCUUUUGCUGAGGGUUCUGCUCCUUCAGUGCCAAGGGAAAUGAAGUCACACGUCAGAUUCUAUCGUCCUCAUGCGAUGGAAAGUGAGCGAGAGCGGUGAGCCUGUGAGCAUUGUUCAUGCCAGGCAAGAGCUGUUCAGCUGGGUGCUGAGCAGACACCGCUGUCAGUGAGAUAAGUGUCUGUUUUGCUGAGGGUUCUGCUCACGGCCCCUCUGACUCCAGGUGGGGAGACCCUGUCAGCUGUGGCUGAAUUUGUAAGAAAAGGUUCCUGACUAGCUGUGAUUAUAAGGGAGACAAGGUCCCCAUUUUCAGGAGCUGCUUAUUUCUAUGGCCAGGAGCAGAGGAUGACUCCAGAUGGACACGGGCAGGCGAGUUCGGUGUGUAUCCCCACAAGCUAUGGCUCGGGAGCCAGGAAGAAGUCGGAGGGGAUGAAAAUCCUGCAAGGCAGUGGGCUGUGCAGAGGCAUUGUCCAGGAGCCCUAGCCAGAGGAGAAGGUGGCAGAAGUGGACCUGAGCUGCCUGGACAUCCUUGUAAGGAGACGUUAACAGUCCUCAGCAUUCUGCCUCUCACCAAACUGGCUGUGAGUAAGCUGUCAGUGCUUGGAAUUCCUCAUCUGUACUCGAUGUAGUUCUCUUCACAGGCCGUGUGCUUCCUCAUUGGGUACGGGGCUCUGUGGGAUUAGGGCUGGAACUCCUCACCAGAAAAUGUUGUGAAGGCCAAGACAAAAAUGGGGUUAAAAAAAGAACUAGGCAAAUCCAUGGAGGGUCAGUCCAUCAAUGUCUGUUAGUCAGGAUGAGCAGGGAUAGUGUCUCUAGCCCCUUCUGCUUUCCAGGCAGCUUAGCGUCUCCUCCUUGGGUAGCGUUUCCCUCAGUCCUAUGUGCCAGGGGAGUCUCUCUGCUUUGCUUGGGCAGAGUUUUUUCCUCUAGUCCUCUAGAGAAUAGUAAAAAUCCUCUAAACUCUACUCACCCCUGCUUCAGUCAGAAAGGGAAUUGUAUUAGGUCUUUGUUGGGGCCUUAAUUGGGUCUAGGUUCUCCACUUACACUGUAGUAACCUUUCCCUAGUCCACAGGGAAUAUAGCCUCGAUAAUCGUAGGGCUUUUAUAUCUCCCAUCUACAACCCUCCUGCUGCUCUCUGGCCCUGCUGUAUCACAGCAUCCAGUGUCACUCUUGCUCCAUGAGGGAAAUAUUUUGUGAGUACCCUGCGUGGCCACACGGUGUCAUUGUUCCUCUGAGAAAUGCUCUGUGCAU